rnacentral:rRNA from 1 species
GAUGAACGCUGGCGGCGUGCUUAACACAUGCAAGUCGAACGGUGAACGAGGGAGCUUGCUCCCUCCGGAUCAGUGGCGAACGGGUGAGUAACACGUGAGCAAUCUGCCCUGGACUCUGGGAUAAGCGUUGGAAACGACGUCUAAUACCGGAUACGAGGCGUGGGGGCAUCCCCAACGCCUGGAAAGAACUUCGGUCCAGGAUGAGCUCGCGGCCUAUCAGCUUGUUGGUGAGGUAACGGCUCACCAAGGCGACGACGGGUAGCCGGCCUGAGGGGGUGACCGGCCACACUGGGACUGAGACACGGCCCAGACUCCUACGGGAGGCAGCAGUGGGGAAUAUUGCUCAAUGGGCGCAAGCCUGAUGCAGCAACGCCGCGUGAGGGACGACGGCCUUCGGGUUGUAAACCUCUUUUAGCAGGGAAGAAGCGAAAGUGACGGUACCUGCAGAAAAAGCACCGGCUAACUACGUGCCAGCAGCCGCCGUAAAAC